UACGAAGGGGGCUAGCGUUGCUCGGAAUCACUGGGCGUAAAGCGCACGUAGGCGGACUCUUAAGUCGGUGGUGAGAUCCUGGAGCUCAACUCCAGAACUGCCUUCGAUACUGGGAGUCUCGAGUCCGGGAGAGGUGAGUGGAACUGCGAGUGUAGAGGUGAAAUUCGUAGAUAUUCGCAAGAACACCAGUGGCGAAGGCGGCUCACUGGCCCGGUACUGACGCUGAGGUGCGAAAGCGUGGGGAGCAAACAGG
rnacentral:rRNA from 1 species